rnacentral:rRNA from 1 species
CCUGGCUCAGAAUGAACGCUGGCGGCGUGCUUAACACAUGCAAGUCGAACGAGAAAUCUUUAGCUUGCUAGGGAAAGUAAAGUGGCGCACGGGUGAGUAACGCGUGGGUAAUCUGCCUCCGAAUCGGGGAUAACAUUGCGAAAGCGAUGCUAAUACCGGAUAAAAUCUGGUUGGCUUCGGUGAACCGGAUCAAAGGUGGUCUCUUUAUAAAAGCUACCGUUUGGAGAUGAGCUCGCGUACCAUUAGCUAGUUGGUGAGGUAAAGGCUCACCAAGGCGACGAUGGUUAGCUGGUCUGAGAGGAUGAUCAGCCACACCGGAACUGGAACACGGUCCGGACUCCUACGGGAGGCAGCAGUGAGGAAUUUUGCGCAAUGGGGGAAACCCUGACGCAGCAACGCCGCGUGAGUGAUGAAGGCUUUCGGGUCGUAAAGCUCUGUCAGGUGGGAAGAACCCACCAAGUGUUAAGACCACUUGGUGCUGACGGUACCACCGAAGGAAGCACCGGCUAACUCCGUGCCAGCAGCCGCGGUAAUACGGGGGGUGCGAGCGUUAUUCGGAAUCAUUGGGCGUAAAGGGCGCGCAGGCGGUUUUGUAAGUCAGAUGUGAAAUCCCGGGGCUUAACCCCGGAAGUGCAUAUGAAACUAUGAGACUUGAGUAUGGGAGAGGGAAGCGGAAUUCCUGGUGUAGCGGUGAAAUGCGUAGAUCUCAGGAGGAACACCGGUGGCGAAGGCGGCUUCCUGGACCAAUACUGGCGCUGAGGCGCGAAAGCGUGGGGAGCGAACCGGAUUAGAUACCCUGGUAGUCCACGCAGUAAACGUUGAUCACUAGGUGU